rnacentral:rRNA from 1 species
AUUGAACGCUGGCGGCAUGCUUUACACAUGCAAGUCGAGCGGCAGCGCGGGGGCAACCCUGGCGGCGAGCGGCGAACGGGUGAGUAAUGCAUCGGAACGUACCCUGGAGUGGGGGAUAACGCCGCGAAAGCGGCGCUAAUACCGCAUAUGCUCUGAGGAGGAAAGUGGGGGACCGCAAGGCCUCACGCUCUGGGAGCGGCCGAUGUCCGAUUAGCUAGUUGGUGGGGUAAAGGCUUACCAAGGCGACGAUCGGUAGCUGGUCUGAGAGGAUGAUCAGCCACACUGGGACUGAGACACGGCCCAGACCCCUACGGGGGGCAGCAGGGGGGAAUUUUGGACAAUGGGGGCAACCCUGAUCCAGCCAUGCCGCGUGAGUGAAGAAGGCCUUCGGGUUGUAAAGCUCUUUUGGUCGGGAAGAAAGUGCCCUGCUUAAUACGCGGGGUAUUUGACGGUACCGGCAGAAUAAGCACCGGCUAACUACGUGCCAGCAGCCGCCGUAAAAC